GUUGUAAAGCUCUUUCAGCAGGAACGAAACGGUAUAGGUUAAUACCCUGUGCUAAUGACGGUACCUGCAGAAGAAGCACCGGCUAACUACGUGCCAGCAGCCGCGGUAAUACGUAGGGUGCGAGCGUUAAUCGGAAUUACUGGGCGUAAAGCGUGCGCAGGCGGAUUGUUAAGCAAGACGUGAAAUCCCCGGGCUUAACCUGGGAAUGGCGUUUUGAACUGGCAGUCUAGAGUGUGUCAGAGGGGGGUAGAAUUCCACGUGUAGCAGUGAAAUGCGUAGAGAUGUGGAGGAAUACCGAUGGCGAAGGCAGCCCCCUGGGAUAACACUGACGCUCAUGUACGAAAGCGUGGGUAGCAAACAGGAUUAGAUACCCCAGUAGUCCAAGCCG
rnacentral:rRNA from 1 species